AUUGAACGCUGGCGGCAGGCCUAACACAUGCAAGUCGAACGAGUGGCGGACGGGUGAGUAAUGUCUGGGCAACUGCCCGAUGGAGGGGGAUAACUACUGGAAACGGUAGCUAAUACCGCAUACCAUCGGAUGUGCCCAGCUGGGAUUAGCUAGUAGGUGGGGUAAUGGCUCACCUGGGCGACGAUCCCUAGCUGGUCUGAGAGGAUGACCAGCAACACGGGAACUGAGAAACGGGCCAGACUCCGAAGGGAGGCAGCAGGGGGGAAGAUGGAACAAGGGGCGAAAGCCUGAUGCAGCCAUGCCGGGUGUGUGAAGAAGGCAUGCGGGUUGGAAAGCACUUUCAGCGGGGAGGCGUUACCAGCAGAAGAAGCACCGGCGAACUCCGUGCCAGCAGCCGCGGUAUUC
rnacentral:rRNA from 1 species